CUUAGCUCUAAACUGCAAAGCUGGCCCGUUUUUCAAGGUUUCCCAUUUAGGGCCCCACAGAUUCCUAUAAAGAUUCUGAACAUACACAUCACCUCAGAAAGUUCCCUUGUCAGAUCAGCCUUUGCUCUUAAGGGAACUACUCUUCUAGUUAUUUUCUACUAUGAGUUGAUUUUGUCUCUUCUUGGACUUCGUAUACUUGGAAUCUCACAAUAUGCACUCUUUUGGCCAAUCCGCAGCAAUCCUAGGCAGAGACUUGCUUGGCCGGAGCCGAAAGGGAUUUUGUAGAUGCAGUUUACAGCAACGACAACAGAAUAUCAGAGUGUAAAGACCAGAUCAAGAGUUGAAAUACCAGGACUCUCCAGGAUCACAAACAAAUGUGGACCUUCCCAGUCAACAGAUGGAAAUCAGACAAAGCAGACGGCUUAAGCCCAGGACAAAGCCUCUCAGGUACCUCUGAGGGAUGGCUACAAAGCAGCAAGAGGGGAACCAGGAUACACAGGAGCUUUUGC
ensembl:lncRNA